CCUCCCGUCCCCCGACGCCUACGUUGGCGAGUACACCGCCGGCACAUUCCGUCCCCCGAUCGAGUCCGCGACGCCACUCCCGCCUCCUCCUCUGAUGCAGAAACCCGGCUGCCCACCACCUCCCCCCUCCUACUGGCCGGCUCCUCGGGUCCUCCUCCACGCUCUACUCAUCCUCAGCGGCGCCGGCGCCAGCUUCCCUGCCGACGCGCUCCACGGCCGUCCUCUUUGCGCACGCGCUGGUCCACACCCACGUCCUCCUUCAGUCGACCCCGUCUCAGAUACAACUGGUCUGGUGUGAUGGUUGACAUGGGGUACUAUGUCUCUGCUUCCCAACCCGUCCCGCCUCCCAAGUUCAAUUUUUCUGUCCUUACAGUUCAAAUCCGCGCGCCCAGUUCGAACUUUCCAGAAACCAGUCCUGCAGCCCAGUAUAAAUAAGUGGGCAGGCUUAUGGGACUCACGCUGCUCAAACUACACCUCCAAGAAGGCACACAACCUUCAGAUCGAACAGAUUGUGGGGAAGUGUGAUUCACUCCUCUUCGCUAUCUAAUCUUCAUCAAGGGCAAGCCAAGUUUAACUGAACUUGCUCCAGUGGCAUGCCAAGUGCUCAUACAAGUCUAUUUAUAUAUAUGUGAGCCAACAGAUAUGACAAGCUCAAGUCACUCGUCUUUGGAUGAUGAAGUGACAAAAAAAUCAUCUAUGAUUUUUCGUACUAAUGGCAUGCUCAUAUCAACGGAUGACUUGGUGCGAGGUGAAAGUUCAGAAGGGCGAAAGCGUGCACGUGAAGCCAUAAGAUAUGCUAGCCGUACACCAGAACAAAUCCAAGCAAGGCGAGAACGUGUUAGAGCACGUCGGCAAAAUUUAACACCUGUUGAGAAGGAAAAGAUUAAUGCACACAGAAGAGAGAAAAGACAAUGAAUGACACUUGAUGAGAGGAAUGCAAGCCAACGAGCGCGUAGGCAAAGUUUGACAUUAGAUGAGAGGCAAGAAAGAAAUCCACGCCGGCGAGCACGUAGGCAAAGCCUACCACCUGAAGAGCGGCAAGCACUCCUAGCUCAACGUAAUGCAAGCUACGCAUCUAAACGAGAUGCCCUCUGCAGGGAUUCUGUUGCACUAUGUUGCUCUUUCUAGAGCUACAUCUAGAAGUAAUAUGAAGAUUCUUACCAUCCCAGAUAAGCAAAAGGAAGGCCAGUCCUACUCCAUUGCAAAUUUUACAAAGAACAUAGUCUACAAAGAAGUUCUCAGCAUGUAGUACAAGAUGGAUGACGUGAGAGCCCCAGAGCUAAUAUUGUUGGCAUAAAUGUUUUGAUCAAACAACUAAAGAAGAGUAUAUAUGCUGAGAAAUGACUUCAUGGCCUGAUAGAUGCCUAAGGUAUGUAACUAAUUAAGUGGAACUAACUAUUUGAGUCAUGUCUGGAAUAUUUCCUCUCUUCAUGGUGGCGCGGUAUUACAGAUUCAUGUUUCUUGUACAUGUUUAGCAAAGCUUCAGUUAAACACUCCUUCAAAGUUAGAAGUACCUUAUUCUUGGUCAAUCCUUCCACUUUACCAAGCUAAUGAGGGUGAUCAAGCACUUAUUUUUUUACCUGUCCCAAGGGAUUUGAGGAAUGAUUUCGUGCUUUUGAUGAAUGUGGCUGCAAGCCUGCAACCAUAUUCCUACAGCCAGUGAUUCAAUAAUUGUCACAUUUUCCUUCCAAUUUUUAUAUUGCUCUUUCAUGUCCAGUUGCUGAAUACAUGCGCGGACUGAUUUUUGCCCACUGGAAACAGUACAUACUCUUAAAGAUUUUGUGGUGACCACAUGGUUGUUGCUCUUGGCUCCAUAUGCUUUUUGUUUAACUUGCUCAUAAAGUACAUAACUUUGAACAAUGCAAUGAAAUCAGUAGAAGCAUCACAUGAUAUGAUUGUUCAUGCUGGCAGCACAAAGCAUAUUGAAGGAAUAACCUAGCGGCGGCUGUACAAUACUGUCAUUGUAGUAGCAUUCCCUAUUUUUUAUAUUCCUAUGUUCCGAACACUCGAUAAAAUUAUGUCAAAAAUGACAAAAUUUUGUGAACUGGAGGGAGUAACUAUUAUCUUAUUCUCUGUUUUAAUGUUGUACUCAUGCAACUGAACUUCCAUACAUUUCAAAAUUAUCUUUAGAUGUUCAAGAAUGGGGCUGCUAAUCUGUGCUUAUGAGCAUCAGUAACUACUAUCUAAUGUUCACGUACAGUGUCGUUGAUGUCAGGGACCAAACCAAGUUCAUAAUCUGAGGUUGGGAGGCUAUUAAUGAAUGUCCAGUUUAAAUUUUAUAUGCAUAAGCAUGUGUGAUUUUAAACCAAAAGCAUUCUCUCUCUUUUGGAGAUCCCCUGCCUUUUGGAAGAUGUUUAGCUUUGAUUUCAACUUCCAGCCUUCUCUCUGUACUCACUGAUCCGCCUGGUAAGACCUACCUGUAAAUAAAAAUCUACUUGCAAUGCUUUAUAAUUAAAAUAUCUGCUGCUGCAGUUCUGCUGCAUAUAUUCUUCUUUAUAAUCAUUGUUGUUUCUUUCAGUGUAUUCUUUUUUAAGCAACUGGCAACCAUCAGGGCUAUCAAACACGUUAAGAAAUGUAACAGCAAGGUACGCACUCAGGUGGUGGCACCUGGUUGACUGGUCAUGAGUAAGGGCAAGUUGUCUGUUUCAGUUUAUGAGUCCAAUGAUGCAAUUUGAGAUAAGCUAGAGCAUAUUGAGACACUUGUGUGGCCAUACUUUUGCUUGAUAACCAACACCUGCAUUGUUUCUUUUUCUUGGAAAAAGUAAUAGAAUAUCUAUUAGUUUCAUUGAUAUAUGAGGCAAUGUUCCUUAUAAUUAAUAGGUAUAGGAGCUGGCGCUGAUAGGAGUGUCCACCUCCUAUAAGAUGACAAAGAUGGAGAGGAAGCAGGAGUGUUGGCGCAGGAGCAGCAGAUGUGGGCGCAGUGCUGGCAAGGCGGGAUGCAGAGGCAGCACGACCUCAAUGGGCUCGCCAUCAACGGCAGCGGAUGCCCAUGCCCAUGGCGCACCAUGCAGCCGGACACGAGCCGUGGCACUACAAAGGUGUUGUACUUGGGUUGAAUUGGUUGUUGGGCAUGUGUCCAUCCCAUGAUUCGUGCGUACAAAUCACUCAUGUACCGUAGUUAAUGUAUCAACAGUGGCCGAAUGAUUUUUUGUUGUGUGUAUUCCCACACAAUAGAUACAAUGGACUCCAAACCCGU